GCUGUGGGUCUUGGAGAAGCUCCAUGACCGUAUCGCAGAUGGCAUCUAGGAGGCUCUAAGAUCACUGGCUCAGAAGCCUCUACAUGAUCUCCUACAUGUGCGCAUUGCUCCAGAUCUGGGAUGUCGAGGCCUAUGAGGAUGCCAAAGAAUAUCAAACUGAUGGAGGAUCAAAACUAUAUCUGAAUUCUAUAACCCGGCUCCUACUCACCCCCUCGAUGGCAUUGAGCCAUCCCUCAAGAU
rnacentral:lncRNA from 1 species